GAUGAACGCUAGCGGCAGGCUUAAUACAUGCAAGUCGAACGGUAACAGGGCGUAGCAAUACGCUGCUGACGAGUGGCGCACGGGUGAGUAACGCGUAUGCAAUCUGCCCUCAACUGGAGA
rnacentral:rRNA from 1 species